GAAAGUAAGCAAGGGCAGACGGUGGAUGCCUUGGCUCUCGGAGGCGACGAAGGACGUGAUAAGCUGCGAAAAGCCCGGGGGAGGCGCAAAUAGCCCUUGAUCCCGGGAUAUCCGAAUGGGGCAACCCGGCAGGCUGAAGGCCUGCCAUCCCGUAAGGGAGGCGAACGUGGGGAACUGAAACAUCUAAGUACCCAUAGGAGGAGAAAAUAAACAAUGAUUCCGUAAGUAGUGGCGAGCGAACACGGAAGAGCCCAAACCCAUGUCGUCUAGGCGACACGGGGGUUGUAGGACCACGACGUGGCAAGAGGAUGGCAAGUGGAACGCCUUGGAAAGGGCGACCGUAGAGGGUGAUAGUCCCGUACACGACUGCCUGCCGAAGCCUAGUGGCAUCCUGAGUAGCGCGGGGCACGAGAAAUCUUGCGUGAAACAGCGGGGCCCAUCCCGUAAGGCUAAAUACUCCCGAGAGACCGAUAGCGAACCAGUACCGUGAGGGAAAGGUGAAAAGAACCCCGAGCAGGGGAGUGAAAUAGACCCUGAACCCGUCUGCCUACAAGCGGUCGGAGCAUAGCAAUAUGUGACGGCGUGCCUUUUGCAUAAUGAACCUACGAGUUACCUUCCCCGGCAAGGUUAAGUACCUAAGGUACGGAGCCGAAGCGAAAGCGAGUCUGAAGAGGGCGGCCAGUCGGGGGGGGUAGACGCGAAACCGAGUGAUCUACCCUUGGCCAGGUUGAAGGUUGGGUAACACCAACUGGAGGACCGGAUGGGUAAGCGUUGAAAAGCUUUCCAAUGAGCUGAGGGUAGGGGUGAAAGGCUAAUCAAACUCGGAGAUAGCUCGUACUCCCCGAAAUGCAUUUAGGNNNNNNNNNNGUGACGGCGUGCCUUUUGCAUAAUGAACCUACGAGUUACCUUCCCCGGCAAGGUUAAGUACCUAAGGUACGGAGCCGAAGCGAAAGCGAGUCUGAAGAGGGCGGCCAGUCGGGGGGGGUAGACGCGAAACCGAGUGAUCUACCCUUGGCCAGGUUGAAGGUUGGGUAACACCAACUGGAGGACCGGAUGGGUAAGCGUUGAAAAGCUUUCCAAUGAGCUGAGGGUAGGGGUGAAAGGCUAAUCAAACUCGGAGAUAGCUCGUACUCCCCGAAAUGCAUUUAGGUGCAGCCUCUUUAUAGUAUAUCGUGAGGUAGAGCGACUGAUUGGAUGCGAGGGCUUCACCGCCUAUCAAGUCCAGAUAAACUCCGAAUGCGCGAUAUAUAUUUACAGGGAGUGAGGGCGCGGGUGCUAAGGUCCGUGUCCGAGAGGAGAAGAAUCCAGACCACCGGCUAAGGCCCCCAAAUGAUCGUUGAGUUGAACUAACGAGGUCGGAUCGCAGAGACAGCUAGGAUGUUGGCUUGGAAGCAGCCAUUCAUUUAAAGAGUGCGUAACAGCUCACUAGUCGAGCGAUCUGGCGUGGAUAAUAAUCGGGCAUAAACGAUCUGCCGAAGCCGUGGAUGUCGUAAGACAUGGUAGGGGAGCAUUCCAUGCGGCGUCGAAGAUGAGGGAUGACCCUUGUUGGAGCGCAUGGAAAAGCAAAUGUAGGUAUGAGUAACGAUAAGGGGGGCGAGAAACCCCCCCGCCGAAAGACCAAGGUUUCCUGAUCAACGCUAAUCGGAUCAGGGUGAGUCGGGACCUAAGGCAAAGCCGAACGGCGCCGCCGAUGGAAGAAUGGGUUAAUAUUCCCAUACUGCCUCAUGGAGUGACGUGGAGACGGAGAAGUGACAGUCCUGCCGGCUGACGGAAUAGCCGGUUGAAGGGUGUAGAUAUUGAUUCCCGUAGGCAAAUCCGCGGGGAGAGUCGAACCUGACAGUAUACCGAGUACUUGUACGAGGUAAUAUGGACGUAACCAUGCUCCCAAGAAAAUCCGCUAAACUUAUCCAUGCGGCACCCGUACCGUAAACGGACACACGUGGUCGGGUUGAGAAUACUGAGGCGCUCGAGUGACUCACGGUUAAGGAACUAGGCAAAUUGACCCUGUAACUUCGGGAUAAAGGGUCCUCGUCGUAAGGCGAGGCGCAGAGAAUAGGUCCAGGCAACUGUUUAACAAAAACACAUGGCUAUGCUAAAUGGAAACAUGACGUAUAUAGCCUGACACCUGCCCGGUGCUGGAAGGUUAAGAGGAGAUGUCAUCGCAAGAGAAGCGUUGAAUUGAAGCCCCAGUAAACGGCGGCCGUAACUAUAACGGUCCUAAGGUAGCGAAAUUCCUUGUCGGGUAAGUUCCGACCUGCACGAAUGGUGUAAUGAUCUGGACACUGUCUCAACCGUGAGCUCGGUGAAAUUGUAGUAUCGGUGAAGAUGCCGAUUACCCGCGAUGGGACGAAAAGACCCCGUGAACCUUUACUAUAGCUUUACAUUGAAUUUGGGCAGACGAUGUGUAGGAUAGGCCGGAGGCUUUGAAGGGGGUACGCCAGUAUCCUUGGAGCCGCCGUUGAAAUACGGCCCUUCGGUUGUUUGAGUUCUAACUCCUAGGCAGGAGGACACUGUAUGGUGGGUAGUUUGACUGGGGUGGUCGCCUCCAAAAGCGUAACGGAGGCUUCUAAAGGUGCCCUCAGACCGAUUGGUAACCGGUCGUAGAGUGUAAUGGCAUAAGGGCGCUUGACUGGGAGAGAUACAACUCGAUCAGGUAGGAAACUAGAGCAUAGUGAUCCGGUGGUUCCGCAUGGAAGGGCCAUCGCUCAAAGGAUAAAAGGUACUCCGGGGAUAACAGGCUGAUCAUUCCCAAGAGCUCAUAUCGACGGAAUGGUUUGGCACCUCGAUGUCGGCUCGUCACAUCCUGGGGCUGGAGAAGGUCCCAAGGGUUGGGCUGUUCGCCCAUUAAAGUGGCACGCGAGCUGGGUUCAGAACGUCGUGAGACAGUUCGGUCUCUAUCUAUCGUGGGCGCAGGAGAUUUGAGGGGCUCUGACACUAGUACGAGAGGACCGUGUUGGACGUACCACUGGUUUACCGGUUGUCCCGCCAGGGGCACCGCCGGGUAUCUAAGUACGGAUCGGAUAAGUGCUGAAAGCAUCUAAGUACGAAGCCGGCCUCAAGAUUAGAUCUCCCUGAAGGGUGGUUAUAGACGAUGACCUUGAUAGGCCACAGGUGUAAGGGCGGCGACGUCCGAGCCGAGUGGUACUAAUAGCCCGGGACUUUCCUCA
rnacentral:rRNA from 1 species